ACAUGUGAGAAGAGAGCAGUCUGUGAACCAAGCAGCAAGCCCUCCCCGGACACCAAAUCAACUGAUGCCUUGACCUUGGACUUCUCAGCCUCUAGAACUAGCCUUGGACAAAGCCCCUGGCGACUUGGGCCUUCCUGGUUCUGCCGCUGACCUGCUGGGGGCUUCAGCAAACCUUCACCUUCCGCCUUGGUGUUCUCGGAUACUCUCUGCAUCCAAUCUAGGCCAGUAGCUCGGGGUGCUGGGAUUCUGGAACAGGAAUUGGGCAAGAAGAUGGAGGAGCUGUCCUGGCCCCAGAGUAAGGACACAGCAGUACCCACAGGUCUCACUCUUCCUCCCCCUGUCCCCCACCCUGGAACAGGGAAGUACAUCCCAUGUUGGCAAUCCUGGCAGCCACAGGCAGCUAACGGGUGCCCACUGUCCCAGCAAACUGCCUGGGCUUGUGCCCAGUUAGGGACAUGGCCUGUAUCACCCCAACUGUCCAGGUCACCCAAGUCAGGCAAAUGAGCUUUAGGUACUUUAAAAUCAGAUUUGGAUACACACCAAACAGGGAUGCUAUCUCUGGAGAGAGGCUGGGAUUGUGCACAGAGGUCAAAGGGGCGUUGAGCCUUAUCUGCCAUAUUCCAUUUUAUUUUCAAGGAUAAUGUA